GUAUAAUAGAAAGAGAUAAACUUUAGACCAUGAGGGGGGAUCCUCCUCAUCUCUCUACUUGGGGACCUUCCCACUUUUCCAUUUCUCUUCGGAUCUCUCCAUUUCAGUUGAUACAUUGUAUCAACAAUUGGUGCGGUCAGCAUGGAUCGAACCCGGAGCCUGAAGAGUUCGCCGUUAUUUCGAUGCUGAGGUUCCCGUCAUCAUCUUCUCCAACAUUGGUAAAUUCUUUGGGUUCUUCAACUCUAGUUCAAAAGCAGUAGCUGAGAAGCAUGCAGAAGAGACAUGCAUCGAUUUUUGCUUGUCAGAGUUUGGGUCCAUUGAAGAAUGGUGGGGUUGUUGUGGGAAUUGAUAUUAAGAAUAGAAGGAACUUCAACUCGGGAGGCAGCUUUAACGGCGGCGACUUGAAUGUCGCGAGGCAUUAAUGAAACUGGUUGAGGAAGCAAAAUUACAAGGUGAGGGAAAUUGAGAAUCGUGAAUUCACCUUUGAUGCUUAAAGUUGCUACAUCAUGAGUGCACGCUGCCAUUUCUGGGGUAGCAAAAGUGCCGAGCCAAAUGCGGGAUUUCUUGCGGGGCUCACGGAUUUCGGACACCUAUUUGCCCUAACUCCUCAUUCUCACCCCUCUGUAGAUUGGGUGUUUGCUGAUUGAUGAUAUUUUGGCUUUGCUAUUAUCUCCCAUGGAUUCAUGACCUCUCCAGAUCUGUUCGUUUAGAGCCUCGUAGGAGUUUUCUCGUGACUUGGCAACUCGGUAUUGGUCCGCACGCAACUCUCUAUCAUUUGAUCCAAACGUUUAGAGUUUUCGUAGGAGUUUCUCGUGACUUGGCAACUCGAUCUUGGUCCGCGCGCAACCCUCUAUCAUUUGGUAUCAGAUUUUAGGCGUUUUGGGUGUUCUUGGUUGAUUUCUAAACUGAUCUCUAUUUUUUAAAGCUACAAACAGCAGUUUUAUCCAGAAAAAGUUUUCGAAAAAAAAUCAUUUGAGUGGGUAAACAUUGUUCGAUUGAUCUGAAAUUUUACAUACAUAUUUGUUGCACUGUGAUUGAAUAUAAAAAUAUUUCCCGCAAAAAAGUCAGUCGAAAAAGUCAAAAAAAUUGAAAAAGACGAAAUCCAUUAAAAAUUAAAAAAAUAUUUAGCGGGUUUAGUUUGGUGCUCAAACUUUCCAGAUAAAAAAUUUAAUAUUUAAGGACAUUCCAGAUUUAAUUUCGUGAUUUUUGGAGAUCGGGAACACCUCGAACGAAGUUGUCAAGUUACUUCGCAGUUUUUCGGGUUUUUCAAUUUCACAAUUUUAUUGAUUCUUAGCUGUAGGUUUUCAUUUGUUUGCUUUUUAUUCUCCCUUUACAAUAUCUAACACCUGCUUGUUUCUUGUGUUAGUAGGAUUUAAACGUGUGCACAAUUCUUCCUCGGUGCAACACGAAUCAAUUGGUGUCUCCUCAGUUUUUGGCAUCCUAGUGCAAAUUAGGACUCUUUGGUAGUUUCGGUUCAUACACUUUCUAAUUGGUUGAUAUAGACUCUACUAAAGAACUCACAAGAUUGAAUUCUACCUCAUUGAGAAUUUGAUUUUUUCUUUUUGAGUGAUUAACGGUGAGGUUUGCUAACUUUCCUUUUUUAGUGUUGAGUGUUUAUUUUACAGAUUUUUGAAAAUGUCUAGGAUUGGUCAAGGUGAUAAUGACCAUAAUGAUGUCCAUGAUAAACUUAAAAUGAUCCAACAACAGUUAGACGAAUGGUCUGCCAUACUUCGAACAUUAAGUGCUACUAUCAAUGAGAUGUGGGUGGAGCAAAGAGCCCAACGAGGAUAACUUAAUUCAAGUGAAAGGGUAGAAAUGAGAGUGCCAAGAAGACGAACAUCCAACGAAUAUUCGAGAAGAGAUUCCUAUUAUGACUCCUAUUCAACGACGAAUUCAAGACGAUGCAAAGCAAGUUUCGAGAGUGAAGCUUUCCAAGGGGAUUAUUGUUCGUAUGCAAGUCAUUCCGUACAUACCCAACGAGAGCCUUUCCGUUCUGAUUCAUUUGUAACAUCUCUAUCUUGUAACGAAAGGAAGACACAAAAAGAAAUCAAAAAAGAAAAAGAGAAGGAAAAAGAGCAAAAAGAGAUUGAGAGUGGAAAGGAAUGUGAAACAGACAAGAAAAUUGAAAAAGAAAUUGAAGAAACAAAAGAAAAAGACGAGAAAAGGGUAGUGAGGAAUGUUUCCACUAACCAAGAUAUGAAUUUUUCUUGUUGCUACUUUUCAGGUUCCCGAAAUACCGAAAGAUAGCUUUCAACUUCAAUACCUUUUCGAUGAAAGACGCUUUCAUACGAUCAACAUAGGCAAGAUUGAAGAUGAAAUCACACUACAUGAGCCCGAAGGUAAGCGAGGUAAGGAAAUUUUAGCCACUGAGUCCCGUGCAGAUUUGAAAAUAAUUGAUAAAACUUUUGGUGACUUAGUUCUUAAAAGAUCCCUUCAUUUUGUUCUGAUUAAUUGUUACUCUUCGAUUGUGGUUGAUAAAGUCAUUACGAAAGGAAGCAUGAGUUGUUAUUCUCUUGAUUUGCCUUAUGUAAAAUUCUCGAAUUGGUGCAAAUCUGUUUUGGUGAAUAAGGUAACGAAAUUUGCCAAAUUUGUUUUCAAUUUAUAUUCGUGCCUUAAAUAGUUUAUGUGGUUGUACAUGAAGUUUGAGUUCCAUUUGACAAAGGUUAACUCAACAACGAAGCUUCAACUACACUAUGCCCCCGAUGAGCGAAGGUUUGUAUUAAAUGGAAAAGGUAAAAUCGACCCUUAUUCUUCUGCUAAUAAAGGUAAGAUGCUUGAAACUUUUGAAACACUUCUGUACUCCUCGGAUAGUGACAAAGAUCGUGUUGAUGAUUUAAUUUUUGUAAAACAUUUAGAUCGAAAUGUGCUUGACUGUCCUAUUUUAUUUAUUGACGAUUUAUCUAUUUUGAUGGUUGAUAAAAAGAUUCUUGUUUUUGAUAAUGCAUGUGUGGUGAAUCUAUAGACCGUCGAUUAAUGCAUGUUAUGAUUGUGCAACUCUGUGAACCGUGUGAAUCUUUUCAAAUACCUACUUGUGAUUAUUAUGUUUACCAUUUGAUUUGUUACUCGCAAUUUAUUCAUGGUUUGUGGAAACAAUUUGAGACGACUGAAUGCCUUAAAACAUGUCAAUCUUUGUUUCGAAUAUUUGACGAGGCAGUGGCGAGUAAAUUAGAUUGUUUGCAUGGUAAUCUGAAUCUGUCCAUUCGCAUGCGUUAUACCUGUUUUGUUAUGCUUAUGACUGGACUACAAGCUUAUUUGCGUUGCUAUUUACUAUCUCAUGGCUAUUCUUUUCAGUAGACUCAAUUGCCAGUAGUCCCGUUCGAUCGAGGAAAGUCGAGUCCAUUUGAUUUUUCAAAUUCGAGGACGAAUCUUUUUGAGGAAGGGGGGAAUGAUACGAGUCACAAAGGCCCAACCCAAGCUCAAGAAGGUGAUGGGCUCAAAUCAAGAAAAUCAAGAUUCACUUUCUUGUUUUCAAGAAAAUCAAGAAACCGAAUCUUGGCCCAAUUUUGCUGUUUGGAGCGAUUUCAAGAAUCAAGAAAAUCAAGAUUUCAAAUAUUGGAAAUUUUGGUCCAAGAAACCAAAUCUUGCACCCAAAGCGCAUUGGAUCUCCGUUACGAGCAUCAACGAACCAAUUUCGGUAGAAGAUGGAAUACAAGCCCAAGUUCUUGAAGGCAAGGCCCAAUAAGAUGAUUCUAAGCCCAAACAAGAAGACAAACCAUACUUACUUGAAAAUCAGGCCAAAUUGUCAAAGUGACCCAAUUUGUAAAGUUUUAUUUUUUAAAUACUUAGUUUAAAUUUUUAUGUAGAUAUUAGGUCCAAGAGGCCCAAUUAAAAGCCCUUGGCGGAUUUCCAUUUAAAUAUUAAAAUAAUUAGGAGUUUUUU